GCAAAUGUAUCAGCAACCAAAAAUAUUACCUUUGUGGAAAGAAAAGAAUAUUCAAGUACAUCAUUAACUAAUGCUUCAAUUGUUGUACUAAUUACUACAUUUAUUGUUUCAAUCUUGAUUUUAUGGGUAUCACUUAACGUAAAAG